rnacentral:rRNA from 1 species
UAGGGAAUCUUCGGCAAUGGACGAAAGUCUGACCGAGCAACGCCGCGUGAGUGAAGAAGGUUUUCGGAUCGUAAAACUCUGUUGUUAGAGAAGAACAAGGACGUUAGUAACUGAACGUCCCCUGACGGUAUCUAACCAGAACGCCCCGGCUAACUACGUGCCAGCAGCCGCGGUAAUACGUAGGUGGCAAGCGUUGUCCGGAUUUAUUGGGCGUAAAGCGAGCGCAGGCGGUUUCUUAAGUCUGAUGUGAAAGCCCCCGGCUCAACCGGGGAGGGUCAUUGGAAACUGGGAGACUUGAGUGCAGAAGAGGAGAGUGGAAUUCCAUGUGUAGCGGUGAAAUGCGUAGAUAUAUGGAGGAACACCAGUGGCGAAGGCGGCUCUCUGGUCUGUAACUGACGCUGAGGCUCGAAAGCGUGGGGAGCAAAAAGG